UCCUAAUAAUGCCUGCAUUCCGAGCAUUACUUUGGCCGCAUCUCAUUAUUGGAGCGGCCCGUUGCAGUGUGCUCUGCGCAUCUCAUUAUUUUUCUCCUUUUCACACAUCACAUGAUUAUCUUUACAGUGUCUUGUCUUGCUUCUUCUAUCACAUUUUCUUUCAUUUAUCCUCUAACACGCUUCCAGGACCAAUUUGCAGAAGAAAUGGACCCCUUUAUUUACUUUAUGUUGUAGUACAAGUCUUCAGCAAGUCCACUCAAAUCUCUCAUUUAGUGGAAGUGAGGCAUGGCUUGGAUUUCUCACCAACAUCUGUAAUUUGGAGUGGUAACUCAAAUCUCUUCAUCUCUUUACUUCUCCAUAAUGUGUGCUGCAACUUUUUCUUCUUCUCAGCGCAAGCAUGAUGUUUUCCUCAGCUUUAGAGAAAACACACCCAAGAACUUUAUCGCACACUAAUUAUUAGAAAAUUGAUAAAUGAUAAAACAUUUAUUCACUGUCCAAGAAUCUCAUGCUAAAUAUGUUCAAGUAAACAAAUAUGUCAUGGUUAUAGGAGUC